GUGGGGAAUAUUGGACAAUGGGCGCAAGCCUGAUCCAGCCAUGCCGCGUGAGUGAUGAAGGCCCUAGGGUUGUAAAGCUCUUUCAGUGGGGACGAUAAUGACGGUACCCACAGAAGAAGCCCCGGCUAACUUCGUGCCAGCAGCCGCGGUAAUACGAAGGGGGCUAGCGUUGUUCGGAUUUACUGGGCGUAAAGCGCACGUAGGCGGAUCGUUAAGUCGAGGGUGAAAUCCUGGAGCUCAACUCCAGAACUGCCUUCGAUACUGGCGAUCUUUAGUCCGGAAGAGGUGAGUGGAACUCCUAGUGUAGAGGUGGAAUUCGUAGAUAUUAGGAAGAACACCAGUGGCGAAGGCGGCUCACUGGUCCGGUACUGACGCUGAGGUGCGAAAGCGUGGGGAGCAAACAGGAUUAGAAACCCCUGUAGUCC
rnacentral:rRNA from 1 species